AUUGAACGCUGGCGGCAGGCUUAACACAUGCAAGUCGAGCGGGGGAAGGUAGCUUGCUACCGGACCUAGCGGCGGACGGGUGAGUAAUGCUUAGGAAUCUGCCUAUUAGUGGGGGACAACAUCUCGAAAGGGAUGCUAAUACCGCAUACGUCCUACGGGAGAAAGCAGGGGAUCUUCGGACCUUGCGCUAAUAGAUGAGCCUAAGUCGGAUUAGCUAGUUGGUGGGGUAAAGGCCUACCAAGGCGACGAUCUGUAGCGGGUCUGAGAGGAUGAUCCGCCACACUGGGACUGAGACACGGCCCAGACUCCUGCGGGAGGCAGCAGUGGGGAAUAUUGGACAAUGGGGGGAACCCUGAUCCAGCCAUGCCGCGUGUGUGAAGAAGGCCUUAUGGUUGUAAAGCACUUUAAGCGAGGAGGAGGCUACUUUAGUUAAUACCUAGAGAUAGUGGACGUUACUCGCAGAAUAAGCACCGGCUAACUCUGAGCCAGCCGCCGCGGUAA
rnacentral:rRNA from 1 species